CGCAGGUGAUGAGCUUAUUGACGGGCGGACAGAGACUCUGUGCUGAUUGUCACGCUCUGAUGUG
ensembl:snoRNA small nucleolar RNA, C/D box 43